CCCCCUGCUGCUCACUACAGAGAAUGCAGCUUUAGCACAUGAAGCUUUGGUCUCUCUUCAGAACCAGAGGUUGAUUUUGAAUCUGUUAGCUGAAAAUCCUGCUUUUCAUGUGAAGCUGGUUAAAAUAUAAGGUGGUUAAUAAUAAAUCUGUUUUUCUGUAGCAGAUUAUCCCUUUAAGACGAAACCCGUGCGUGUGUGUGCAUACACGCCUUCAAUGCAACACAACAACUUUGAACCAUUUUGUGUGUGUGUGUGUGUGUGUGUGUGUGUUUGUGUGUUUCUAAAAACACCUGCUCAACAUUUCGCCUGAAUCAUUUCCUGGGAAAAAAAUGAAAACGUGGAGGAGGACGUCCAGUGCUGACAUUUGUUUUUGUAAUCGCAGUUAAUCACAGUUGACAACUGUGUGUGUGUGUGUGUGUGCGUGUGCGCGCGGCGUCGUUACCUCUCAUCUGCGUCAGGUGACCAUUUCCUGGCUCUUGACUGUUCCAGUGACCUCUGACCUCCUCCACCUGCUGCCAACCGCGGCAGGGAGCCUUUUGAUCCGGGUGCUGAUUGGCCCGCCGACAAGCUGCGGUUCCGUUUCCCACGGUGAUCCGUCCGAUGCGUCGUCACGGCGCUUUGAUUUCCCGACCUCUGACCUCUGUGCUGUCGGUUUACUGCCGAUGAUCCGGUUCCAGGAACGUUUUGUCGAGGUGGAGCUUUUCUCUCUCGUCGUGACCUCGUAUGUUUUGGGAAAUUCGAAAGCCUCGAAUCACCCGGACGUCUCACAGCUGAUUGGACGCCCCGUAACCGUGACAACGCAGAGCGGUGCGCUCACCUCUUGGGACCAACAGAACGAUCUGACCUCCUUCUACGCCUCUCUUGAUUUUCCGCAGGACACAAACACAAACUACAACCACGCGGACGGCGACGCCGCUUCCUGUCCAGCUGUGGAAGGCGUCCCAGCGCCGCCGCCGAAAAGAGGACCCGUGGUGGUCCGAGCAAACAACAAGAACCCGGCCAGCGAGAACCUGGAGAGAGUCCGCCAGUGGAGCGUUGCCACCUACAAGUGCACCCGCCAGGCCGUGUCGGAGAGGCUGGGCCGGGGGUCCCGCACGGUGGACCUGGACCUGGAGCCCCGCCUCGAGCUGCUCAAAGACGACCGGCAGCGCUACGACAGCGUGACCAAGCUGGCCCAGACGCUGGCCAAUCAGCUCGCUCAGUUCUCCGUUACCCAGAAGACGCUGGGGGACGCCUUCGCCGAGCUCAGCCUCAAGACGCCGCCGCUGCACGUGGAGUUCACCGCGAACGCGGACGCUCAGAAGUUCCUAUCGAAGAGCGGCGAGACUCUGACGGCGUCCCUCAACGCCUUCACGUGUGACAUGAGCACUCUGAUCAACAAGACCAUCGAGGACACCAUGAUCGACGCCAGGCGCUACGAGGCCGCCAGGGUGGAGUACGACGCCUACCGGGUGGACCUGGAGGAGCUGAACCUCGGGCCGCGGGACGCCCUCACCCUGCCCCGACUGGAGCGCGCCCAGAAGGACUUCCAGAGCCAGAGGGAGCGGUACCAGAGGGCCCGAGACGACCUGUCCGUCAAAGUCCGGCUGCUGCAGGAGAACAAGGUCAAAGUCCUCCACCAGCAGCUGUGGCUGCUCCACGCCGCCGUGGCCGCUCACGCCUCCUCCUGCCACGCCUUCCUGGAGCAGAGCGCCGCGGCCCUGGGAGACCCCGACUGCCCCCCCCCCUCCUGGCUGGAGGAGAGCUGAUGUCUUGGGUGCUCCUUGGGAGAGGGAGGUGGGUUUAUCUACGGGGGGUUAGAGAGACGUUGAACACAUUCUGGGUCUUAUUUUCACCUUUUGAUGUGAUAUUUAGGACAAUAAUGAUCUCUAAUUAACACACACACACAGACACACACACACACACACACAGACACACACACACACACAGACACACACACACACACUGUCUUAGUAAAUCCAUAAUCCUCCAUUAAGGCACUAAGCCUUUCUUUUAACUCCUCAGCCUCUGCACUCCGAGACUCCCACAUCUCCUCCUCCUCCUCCUCCUCCUCAGCUCCUUCACACAUCUCCUCCCCCUCCUCCUCAGCUCCUUCACACAUCUCCUCCUCCUCAGCUCCUUCACACAUCUCCUCCUCAGCUCCUUCACACAUCUCCUCCUCCUCGGUGUGAUGUAUAAAACACUUUGUGUCUUCGGGAUCAUUUCCUUCUCUUCUUUUAUCUGUGACGUGGGCGACAUGAUCCUCUAAACUGCAACUGUCACUUUAUCCCGAACACAAGCGGGUGGAGCGCUGGACCACGUGUUUGUGUUCGGCCCGAAUCGACGCGCCGCCUCCUGCGUGUUCUUAUUCCCUUCUGACGGAGACCGUCACAGGGUGGACAGAAUAACAGAAACACCGUUGCUCUCUGGACAUUAUUAAUCUGUAGUUGACCUUCGUCUCCUUGUGUUAAAAUGUACGACUCUGUUUGGUGUCGACGAAGCUCAGAUGUGAGCACAACUAUGCAAGGAAUCUGUGCCGUUGGUGCAAUAAUGUCUCCUAACCCUCUUUAAAAUGAACGAUGACAUCAUGCUCGUACCAAACAUUUAACAGAACCCCAGUCCUAACCUCGUUCAUCUUCUAACAGACCAAAAGACAAUCGAAGUUAAAAGACAGCGUUUCUUUCUUUUUAAGUAAAAGUGACAAAAAAGGACCAAAAUGUACUUAGUGUUUUAAUAUUUAUGGGAAUGUUUUGUGUGUAACUGCCAAAUAAAAUGAUAUGAAAGCAAAUCUCA
ensembl:lncRNA